GAUGAACGCUGGCGGCGUGCCUAAUACAUGCAAGUCGAGCGAAUGGAUUAAGAGCUUGCUCUUAUGAAGUUAGCGGCGGACGGGUGAGUAACACGUGGGUAACCUGCCCAUAAGACUGGGAUAACUCCGGGAAACCGGGGCUAAUACCGGCUAACAUUUUGAACCGCAUGGGUCGAAAUUGAAAGGCGGCUUCGGCUGUCACCUAUGGAUGGACCCGCUACGCAUUAGCUAGUUGGUGAGGUAACGGCUCACCAAGGCAACGAUGCGUAGCCGACCUGAGAGGGUGAUCGGCCACACUGGGACUGAGACACGGCCCAGACUCCUACGGGAGGCAGCAGUAGGGAAUCUUCCGCAAUGGACGAAAGUCUGACGGAGCAACGCCGCGUGAGUGAUGAAGGCUUUCGGGUCGUAAAACUCUGUUGUUAGGGAAGAACAAGUGCUAGUUGAAUAAGCUGGCACCUUGACGGUACCUAACCAGAAAGCCACGGCUAACUACGUGCCAGCCGCCGCCGUAA
rnacentral:rRNA from 1 species